AUGAAAACUAGACCCAGAAAGACAGAAGAAAUAAAAAAAAUAUGGCCAGUAAAGAAGAAAUCCAAAAACAGAGAAAAUAGAAGACAAGAGCAAGAAAAAAGUAAUUUUAGAAUCAAGAAAUCAAAAGUACAUCCUCUCCUGCGACCCCAAAGAGUAAAUAACAAGUCAAGAAAUUUAUGCCCUAUAAAGAAUCAAGAAAUAUUAAACGAAAAAGAAUUUACAAGAGAGGGACAAAUCAAAACAAAGAAAUAA